rnacentral:rRNA from 1 species
ACGUAGGUAACCUGCCCAUGUGCCCGGGAUAACUUCUGGAAACGGGAUGCUAAAACCGGAUAGGUAGCAGACAAGCAUUUGACUGCUAUUAAAGUGGCUAAGGCCAUGAACAUGGAUGGACCUGCGGUGCAUUAGCUAGUUGGUGAGGUAACGGCCCACCAAGGCGACGAUGCAUAGCCGGCCUGAGAGGGCGGACGGCCACAUUGGGACUGAGACACGGCCCAAACUCCUACGGGAGGCAGCAUG